UCAGCAGUCCCAAAAUAUUAGUCAAUGCUCGAAAGAGUGAACUAGCUAACUGAAAUCAAUUAAAAAUAAUAAUUGAUAACAUAAGGGAAAAUAAUGAUAUUACCUUAUUAUUAGUGUCGUCCAAAACUGGUGCCAGAAGACUCGGUAAGGCCAGAGACAUAAACGUUAAUCGUCUUAAUCAGGCGUAAAGGGUUUGUAGGCGGCUUUAAAAUUUACUAAUAAACACAAAUUAUAAGUAAAGAAUAAAAGCUAGAAUCAAAUAGAGGAUAUAUGAAAGAAUGCUUAGAGUAGGUCCGAUAUCCUUAGAUACUAAGUAGAAUAUUAAAGGCGAAAGCUUUUUUCCAUUAAUGAUUGACGCUCAGAAACGAAGGUGAGGAUAGGAAAUAGGAUUAGAUACCCAGAAUACCCCUCUCUGUCAACGAUGAAUGGUAGUUAUUAGUAUAAAUUUAUUAAUGGCAAUGUUAACACGAUAACCAUUCCGCCUUGUGAGUACAACUGCAAAGUUGAAAACAAAAAAAUUAGUCGGUUUCGGAGCAAACGAAGUGAAGCAUGUUAUUUAAUUCAAUU
rnacentral:rRNA from 1 species